rnacentral:tRNA from 1 species
GCGGAUAUAGAUUAAUGGUAAAUUUACUGCCUUCCAAGCAGUCUAUGUGAGUUCGAUUCUCACUAUCCGCU